AUGAAAGACUAUGUGACUACUUGUCAGGAACUAAUUUUUAUUUCAAACAGGAGAUUCUGCCUGGCCCUUUCUGAACUGAGCUUAUUGGAUUUAGCCAAGCCUUCUAAGAUUAUACAUGAAACCACUGGACCAAACUUUACUUGGACAGACACAUUGAAGGGAUCUAUGGAACAUGAGAAUUUUCAAUCAGAUUGGGUAUUAGGACAAUCAGAGACCCCAACUUCUGGGAGCCAGAGGAAGCCUGUACACCACAUAUCUGUUUCAGAUCUCAGCCUCUAAGUAUUCAGGACAACUAAUAUCUACUCCAAAAGCAAUGCGAUGAUCCAGGACAAUUCAGAGGGACGUAUUUGAAAGAAUGCUCUCCACAUCCAGAGAAAGGUUUGUGGGAAUAGAAACACCAAAGAAAAACAAAUGACUGAUCACAUGGGUUGAUGGGGAUGUGAUUGGGGAUGUAGACUCUAAAUGAUCACCCUAGGGCAAACAUCAAUAAUAUGGAAAUAGGUCUUGAUCAAUGACACAUGUAAAACCCAGUGGAAUUUCUCGUUGGCUUCGGGAGGGGGGUGUAGGCAUGGGUGGGAAAGAACAUGAAUCAUACAAUCAUGGA
rnacentral:lncRNA from 1 species